UUUUUUCUCUCCUGCUUCCCUCAUCUGUUCUCUUCCAAAGAAGCUGGUCCUUAGCCUGUAUUGCGGAGCAAGCUUUCGGCGACCAGCUGGACCCUGGGCACCCUUCUUCGAACAAUGGCUUUUAAUUCUCAGACUAGAACGUUUAGGAUUACAAAAGAAACUGGUUCUUUUCACAUUCUUAUUCUUGUGAUGUAGCAUUCCGCAUAUAUAUAUAUAUAUAUAUAUAUAUAUAUAUAUAUAUGUAUCCAACUAUCCUAAAAGACACUACCCUUCAUCAUUCCAUGCCAUUAGACAUGUAUAGGACCAUGCAUGGUGAUCUCCUCCAGACAAAAGUAAAUGCUGGUGCAGAACAGGAUUUGAGUUUGAUGUCUUGCAUACAAUGUGAUCCCACUGUAUGACUACACAAAUGUUGGCAAAAGUGAGUUCAGAGGAAAUGGUAGGCAAGUACUUCCCAGUUUUGGCCAGAAGAUGGAGAAAAAAGAAUUCUCAAAAAAUGUUAAAGGUGUCUACAGAGAAAUAGACAAGUGAUGCACGACAGAUACAUGUGUCAGUCUGGUCCCUGCAGUUGUAUUUGUAAUAAUACACAUUGGAGCAAUUUCAUGGCCAUCGGUUAGAGAAUGUUUGAGGAAUGAUCCAUUCAUAUCAAGAAGGACAUUUCAAAGAUCAAAACCUGAUGGAAAUGCUGGAGACCAUGGCGCUGAUAGGAGCUCAUGCGUGUGGACCAAUUACUACGUGACAGGCAUU
rnacentral:lncRNA from 1 species